rnacentral:rRNA from 1 species
UUGCAUAUCAAUAAGCGGAGGAAAAGAAACUAACAAGGAUUCCCCUAGUAACGGCGAGUGAACCGGGAAAAGCUCAAAUUUGAAAUCUGGCGUCCUCAGGGCGUCCGAGUUGUAAUCUAUAGAGGCGUUUUCCGUGCCGGACCGUGUCCAAGUCCCUUGGAACAGGGUAUCAAAGAGGGUGACAAUCCCGUACUUGACACGACUACCGGUGCUCUGUGAUACGUCUUCUACGAGUCGAGUUGUUUGGGAAUGCAGCUCAAAAUGGGUGGUGAGUUCCAUCUAAAGCUAAAUAUUGGCGAGAGACCGAUAGCGAACAAGUACCGUGAGGGAAAGAUGAAAAGCACUUUGGAAAGAGAGUUAAACAGUACGUGAAAUUGUUGAAAGGGAAACGAUUGAAGUCAGUCGUGACCGAGAGGCUCAGCCGGCUCUGCCGGUGUAUUCCCCUCGGUCGGGUCAACAUCAGUUUUGUCCGGUGGAUAAGGGCGGUAGGAAGGUGGCACCCACGGGUGUGUUAUAGCCUGCCGUCGCAUACACUGGGUGAGACUGAGGAAUGCAGCUCGCCUUUAUGGCCGGGGUUCGCCCACGUCCGAGCUUAGGAUGUUGACAUAAUGGCUUUAAACGACCCGUCUUGAAACACGGACCA